CGUGCUUAACACAUGCAAGUCGAACGAUGAACCCGGAGCUUGCUCCGGUGGAUUAGUGGCGAACGGGUGAGUAACACGUGGGAACGUGCCCUUCAGUUCGGGAUAACCCAGGGAAACUUGGGCUAAUACCGGAUACGUGCGAGAGCAGAAAGAUUUAUCGCUGAAGGAUCGGCCCGCGUCUGAUUAGCUAGUUGGUGGGGUAAUGGCCCACCAAGGCGACGAUCAGUAGCUGGUCUGAGAGGAUGAUCAGCCACAUUGGGACUGAGACACGGCCCAAACUCCUACGGGAGGCAGCAGUGGGGAAUAUUGGACAAUGGGCGCAAGCCUGAUCCAGCCAUGCCGCGUGAGUGAUGAAGGCCUUAGGGUUGUAAAGCUCUUUCGUCCGGGACGAUAAUGACGGUACCGGAAGAAGAAGCCCCGGCUAACUUCGUGCCAGCCGCCGCCGUAA
rnacentral:rRNA from 1 species